GGCCCUCUGGGUUGUAAACUUCUUUUAUAUGGGACGAAAAAAGGCCUUUCUAGGUCAACUGACGGUACCAUGUGAAUAAGCACCGGCUAACUCCGUGCCAGCAGCCGCGGUAAUACGGAGGGUGCAAGCGUUAUCCGGAUUCACUGGGUUUAAAGGGUGCGUAGGUGGGUUGGUAAGUCAGUGGUGAAAUCCCCGAGCUUAACUUGGGAACUGCCAUUGAUACUAUCAGUCUUGAAUACUGUGGAGGUUAGCGGAAUAUGUCAUGUAGCGGUGAAAUGCUUAGAUAUGACAUAGAACACCAAUUGCGAAGGCAGCUGGCUACACAAAUAUUGACACUGAGGCACGAAAGCGUGGGGAUCAAACAGGAUUAGAUACCCUGGUAGUCCACGCCCUAAACUAUGGAUACUCGACAUACGCGAUACACAGUGUGUGUCUGAGCGAAAGCAUUAAGUAUCCCACCUGGGAAGUACGAUCGCAAGAUUGAAACUC
rnacentral:rRNA from 1 species